rnacentral:rRNA from 1 species
AGCGACGUUCAACCUCAAAAGAAGCAGAGGGGGCUUAGUGGUGGGGUGACUGCGUACCUUUUGUAUAAUGGGUCAGCGACUUAUAUUCUGUAGCAAGGUUAACCGAAUAGGGGAGCCGGAGGGAAACCGAGUCUUAACCGGGCGUUAAGUUGCAGGGUAUAGACCCGAAACCCGGUGAUCUAGCCAUGGGCAGGUUGAAGGUUGGGUAACACUAACUGGAGGACCGAACCGACUAAUGUUGAAAAAUUAGCGGAUGACCUGUGGCUGGGGGUGAAAGGCCAAUCAAACCGGGAGAUAGCUGGUUCUCCCCGAAAGCUAUUUAGGUAGCGCCUCGUGAAUUCAUCUCCGGGGGUAGAGCACUGUUUCGGCUAGGGGGCCAUCCCGGCUUACCAACCCGAUGCAAACUGCGAAUACCGGAGAAUGUUAUCACGGGAGACACACGGCGGGUGCUAACGUCCGUCGUGAAGAGGGAAACAACCCAGACCGCCAGCUAAGGUCCCAAAGUCAUGGUUAAGUGGGAAACGAUGUGGGAAGGCCCAGACAGCCAGGAUGUUGGCUUAGAAGCAGCCAUCAUUUAAAGAAAGCGUAAUAGCUCACUGGUCGAGUCGGCCUGCGCGGAAGAUGUAACGGGGCUAAACCAUGCACCGAAGCUGCGGCAGCGACGCUGAUGCGUUGUUGGGUAGGGGAGCGUUCUGUAAGCCUGCGAAGGUGGCCUGUGAGGGUUGCUGGAGGUAUCAGAAGUGCGAAUGCUGACAUAAGUAACGAUAAAGCGGGUGAAAAGCCCGCUCGCCGGAAGACCAAGGGUUCCUGUCCAACGUUAAUCGGGGCAGGGUGAGUCGACCCCUAAGGCGAGGCCGAAAGGCGUAGUCGAUGGGAAACGGGUUAAUAUUCCCGUACUUGGUGUUACUGCGAAGGGGGGACGGAGAAGGCUAUGUUGGCCGGGCGACGGUUGUCCCGGUUUAAGCGUGUAGGUGUGUGUUCCAGGUAAAUCCGGUUCACUUUAACACUGAGGCGUGAUGACGAGGCACUACGGUGCUGAAGCAACAAAUGCCCUGCUUCCAGGAAAAGCCUCUAAGCAUCAGGUAACAUCAAAUCGUACCCCAAACCGACACAGGUGGUCAGGUAGAGAAUACCAAGGCGCUUGAGAGAACUCGGGUGAAGGAACUAGGCAAAAUGGUGCCGUAACU